AAUGCCUUGUGACUGUGCCAUGGGCGGCUUCAGCUUCAAUUGUUUUGCCAUCAGGACAGACAAGGACACUGGUCAUCAAACCAAGUGACCCAUAGCCUGCAAAUAUGUAGGAUAGUGAUCUAUAAAAUACAAUAGCAGUGAAUCUUAAAACUAUAAAUACAGAGUUGAAAACUUAGGGAUAUUACAAUGCCAGAACAAACUUGAAAAACUCACCCUGUGCAACAAUGUCGGAUUGCACAUCACCAUCGUAAUUCUUGCAAGCCCAGACAAAGCCUCCAGAUGACUUCAAACAUUGGGCCACCAUGUCAUCAAUCAACCUGUGCUCAUACCAGAUCUUCUUCUUCUCAAAC